AUUGAACGCUGGCGGCAGGCCUAACACAUGCAAGUCGAACGAGUGGCGGACGGGUGAGUAAUAUCUGGGAAACUGCCCGAUGGAGGGGGAUAACUAAUGGAAACGGUAGCUAAUACCGCAUACCAUCGGAUGUGCCCAGAUGGGACUAGCUUGUAGGGGAGGUAACGGCUCACCUAGGCGACGAUCCCUAGCUGGUCUGAGAGGAUGACCAGCCACACUGGAACUGAGACACGGUCCAGACUCCGACGGGAGGCAGCAGUGGGGAAUAGUGCACAAUGGGUGAAAUCCUUAUGCAGCAAUGCCGCGUGUAUGAGGAAGGCCUUCGGGUUGUAAAUUACUUUCAGCGGGGAGGCGUUACCCGCAGAAGAAGCACCGGCUAACUCCGUGCCAGCAGCCGCGGUAAUUC
rnacentral:rRNA from 1 species